AUUUUCCACUACCAAGGAAGCAACUUUGGAUCAUCACAACUCAUCCAUUCCUUAGUCGUUUUGAGUGAAUAAACAUGCAUUGGAAAGCUCUCUCGGAGGAGAACAUAAUCCAAGCAUAACCCGCCACGAGCACGUAGCCGAGCCUCACUCAAAUUUGUGCUCAAAAUGACAAACUUCCAACAAUCCCCACAUGGGUGAGAUUGAUGAUUUUCAGUAGCACACACCAGACAGACAGACACGGGGUUUGACUUUUGGUGAUAGUUUCUGCGAUCAGAUAUAGCAUACGAUAGGUAGAGAAUGCUCCUUGAACCUUCGCUCGAAUAAGCACACCGACUUUACUGGUAGACAGUGGACGAGCUUGUCCUUGAACUGUUCAACCGUUUGUGUAAACGAUGAUAUACUUAUCACUAUAUCCUUUCUGACUUGUUCAGUUCUCAUGAGUAUGUCCAUUUUGGCCAUGGAACAUCGUCCUGGUUCUGCGGGAGUUUCUAAAGAAUUGUGCCUCGCAAUUCUCCUUUGAAGCGGCCCCACUUCUCUCCUACAUAGGUGAUCU
rnacentral:lncRNA from 1 species